rnacentral:rRNA from 1 species
AGGCGGCGGGCGGCCUACGGGAGGCAGCAGUAGGGAAUCUUCGGCAAUGGACGAAAGUCUGACCGAGCAACGCCGCGUGAGCGAAGAAGGCCUUCGGGUCGUAAAGCUCUGUUGUUAGAGAAGAACAUGGGUGAGAGUAACUGUUCACCCCUUGACGGUAUCUAACCAGAAAGCCACGGCUAACUACGUGCCAGCAGCCGCGGUAAU